rnacentral:rRNA from 1 species
GGGACCGCACAAGCGGUGGAUGAUGUGGAUUAAUUCGAUGCAACGCGAAAACCUUACCUACCCUUGACAUGUCCGGAAUCCCGAAGAGAUUUGGGAGUGCUCGCAAGAGAACCGGAACACAGGUGCUGCAUGGCUGUCGUCAGCUCGUGUCGUGAGAUGUUGGGUUAAGUCCCGCAACGAGCGCAACCCUUGUCAUUAGUUGCCAUCAUUUGGUUGGGCACUCUAAUGAGACUGCCGGUGACAAACCGGAGGAAGGUGGGGAUGACGUCAAGUCCUCAUGGCCCUUAUGGGUAGGGCUUCACACGUCAUACAAUGGUCGGUACAGAGGGUUGCCAACCCGCGAGGGGGAGCUAAUCCCACAAAGCCGAUCGUAGUCCGGAUCGCAGUCUGCAACUCGACUGCGUGAAGUCGGAAUCGCUAGUAAUCGUGGAUCAGCAUGUCACGGUGAAUACGUUCCCGGGUCUU